rnacentral:sRNA from 1 species
GCCAGGCAUGGUGGCACAUGCCUGUAAUCCCAGCGGCUCGGGAGGCUGAGGCAGGAGGAUGGUAAGUUCAAAGCCUGCCUUACAACUUUGUGAGGCACUUAGUAACUCCACGAGACCCUGUCUCUA